rnacentral:rRNA from 1 species
CAAGCGGUGGAUGAUGUGGAUUAAUUCGAUGCAACGCGAAAAACCUUACCUACCCUUGACAUGUCAGGAACCUCCGAGAGAUUGGAGGGUGCCCGAAAGGGAACCUGAACACAGGUGCUGCAUGGCUGUCGUCAGCUCGUGUCGUGAGAUGUUGGGUUAAGUCCCGCAACGAGCGCAACCCUUGUCAUUAGUUGCUACAUUUAGUUGAGCACUCUAAUGAGACUGCCGGUGACAAACCGGAGGAAGGUGGGGAUGACGUCAAGUCCUCAUGGCCCUUAUGGGUAGGGCUUCACACGUCAUACAAUGGUACAUACAGAGGGCCGCCAACCCGCGAGGGGGAGCUAAUCCCAGAAAGUGUAUCGUAGUCCGGAUCGCAGUCUGCAACUCGACUGCGUGAAGUUGGAAUCGCUAGUAAUCGCGGAUCAGCAUGUCGCGGUGAAUACGUUCCCGGGGUCUUGUACACACC